rnacentral:rRNA from 1 species
CCUACGGGUGGCAGCAGUGAGGAAUAUUGGUCAAUGGGCGAGAGCCUGAACCAGCCAAGUCGCGUGAGGGAUGACUGCCCUAUGGGUUGUAAACUUCUUUUAUAUGGGAAUAAAAUGUUGCACGUGUGGGGUUUUGUAUGUACCUUAUGAAUAAGGAUCGGCUAACUCCGUGCCAGCAGCCGCGGUAAUACGGAGGAUCCGAGCGUUAUCCGGAUUUAUUGGGUUUAAAGGGCGCGUAGGGGGGUUGUUAAGUCAGUUGUGAAAGUUUGGGGCUCAACCGUAAAAUUGCAGUUGAAACUGGCAGUCUUGAGUACAGUAGAGGUGGGCGGAAUUCGUGGUGUAGCGGUGAAAUGCAUAGAUAUCACGAAGAACCCCGAUGGCGAAGGCAGCUCACUGGACUGUAACUGACGCUGAGGCACGAAAGUGUGGGGAUCAAACAGGAUUAGAUACCCGAGUAGUC